rnacentral:rRNA from 1 species
CAGUAGCCGCGGUAAUACGUAGGUGGCGAGCGUUGUCCGGAAUUAUUGGGCGUAAAGGGAGCGCAGGCGGACAUAUAAGUCCAUCUUAAAAGUGCGGGGCUCAACCCCGUGAGGGGAUGGAAACUGUAUGCCUUGAGUGCAGGAGAGGAAAGCGGAAUUCCCAGUGUAGCGGUGAAAUGCGUAGAUAUUGGGAGGAACACCAGUGGCGAAGGCGGCUUUCUGGACUGUAACUGACGCUGAGGAGCGAAAGCGUGUGGAGCGAACAGAAUUAGAUACCCGCGUAGUCCCUGUCUCUUAUACA